rnacentral:lncRNA from 10 species
AGAAGGACCAGCUCCAGUCUGUAAAAUCGGAUGGACCGCCAAUCGGAGAAUGAGAGCUGCCCAGCCUGGUCUUACAUUCUUUCAAUUAAUUCAUAAACAGGGGGAUAUGCAGGGAGCCGAAGGCCCAUGGGACGUGACCAACUCAGCAUUCCACUGGAGGCUAUAUGAUCAAACAGCAAACUGUUUAUCAUGAAUACAGGAUGUGAGCAAACUCACGACUGUGCCUGCCGCCAGAAGGUUUGCUGAGGGCAAUCGCUUCCUGACGCCAAGCUCUUUGAAGUUAUCUACUGGAACAUCUAGAGAAUGCAGUCUUGCAAGCCUACUCUGGACCAACCAACUGACCUCUUCUUCCACCCCCCUUCUCACUAUCGCUUUUCUCUAAUAAAUACAGAGGGCCGUGUAAAGCUCAGGGCCUUGUCCACUAGAGGCAAGGUGCCCCCGGACCCCUUCUUCCAAAUAUACUCUUUUGUCUCUUGUCUUUUAUUCCUGCAUUCACCCCCCUUUGUUCAGUCCACCAGGGAUCAUGGCAGGUUACAUAGUGGCGCCCCGAACAGCCACAGAAUCGGGUGCUCGAUAGAUCCUCAUAUAUAACUAUAAUUUGAGCCCCAAUGUAAAGUCCAUAAAUUUUUGUCAAUUUGAGCAUUUUUGCUGUUGUUGAAGUUAAGUUAGUACCUAUGUUGUAAAGGCACAAAACCAAAUCAGUGCCUUUUUAUCCUUUUGUUACAUAAUUUUUUUGGUAUAAAAAUUAAUAUAUGAAUUUUGAAUUCCCAAUCAAAUCAAAUUGUAAAACUUUGUUUUGAUGCGGUUAUAUAUUAAAUGUACAUAAUUCACCUAUUUGUCCUAUGUUUACAUUAAAAU